rnacentral:lncRNA from 1 species
AACAAGAUCAUCGUUUUAUUAUCUGAUUCAGGCUUUUUGCCACCUCAAAAAUGGAGGAACAAGCAUGGAGCACUGCUCACUAGAACACACUAGAAAAUCUUCAGCAACUAAGAACAGAGUACAAACUUAAAUAUCACAUCCCAUUUUUCCAGCAAUUCCCAGUGGCCUGGUACAUAUGUUCCAGUGAUGACCUACCAUAUUAUAGUUCUUGCAUUUUCCAGGGUUUGCACAGCUUCUUCGGUGCAUCCCAGGGCAGGUUGUUCACUUGUGUCCCUCGCGCCGGCAGAAGCUGCAGAACUUUGUCCAUUUGCUCAGACCCUCGUAUGGUGCCUUCUCCAGUAUCUGUCGGCCUUCCAACCCCUCUGCUUAUCCGGGACUGCAAGACCUUUGCCAAUCGGUCCUCAAAAGCCAAACAAUCUCUCUUCUCUGCAAACGGUGCACUAGUAACCAACAAUCAUUCAGACUAGCUAACAUGUGCUCGAAUGACUCUGCACUCGCAUCCCCCAUCAUCAUGACAUCCAUAGCUUUCAUAUAUAGCGUCGAAUGUCUGCACGUGAAAGACAAGUUAACUGAAUGGUCUUUCUGGUAUUGAAUCAGGUGCUAGGGUAGUAUGUUCUUCACGUCCUUGGUCCACCGCUUGACAAUAUGCUUAACAGGAAUCUCCUCUAAGUGAAGUACAUCCAUGAACUAUGACAGCAAAACACGGUUUUCAGAAAUGUACAUCCUCAAAGCAGGUCACUCGCAUCUACACAACCUGCUAUUCUCAGCCUCUGGCUUCCUUGUUUUCCAAAAAAAGUAGAAAUGCUUUGUUAGUGACACAUUCAACUAUUCUUUUUGAGUUCAUAUACUUGAACAAGCGGCUUUAAGAAUUUACCGAGCAGACGCAGACAAUCUCCUGCAUUGAUUUGGUCCUCUCUGCGUUCAAUCUGCUUUUCCCAUAUCUUAUCCCAAAGCCAAUCUGCCACGAAUACAAAUUGUAUAAAUUGUACGCCUCAAUUGAAUCGAAACUUAGUCCUAGUUCAGGACAAACAACACAUUUUUGUCGGUUUCUCCGCAUACUUGUGAAUUGACUACUCAAGGGCACUCAUUCUUGAAGGAAAUGGGUUCUGUCUGGCAGCACGCUCCCUAGACGCAACCUGUAUUUCCAUAGAAAGACAACAUUGGUCAGUUUCAACACGAGGGAACAGGGGAGGAGGCGCAGAAGGCAUACUUCGCAUAAUUAUUAAGCUAAGCAGACGGAAUGAGGGUCGGAUAUCAGAUGCAAAAUACAUUUGGCAUGGUGGGAUGCUUGCAUUAUUGGAAGAAAGAUAUUUUCAACACAUUCAGAAGUUGACAUGUACCCAAAGCAAACGUGGGGUAAAUACGGAAGACAAUUUUAUGUAUGGAUGGUUUGCCAUGGAAUACAAAAUCAUGCCUCAUACUCUUUUUUCUCAACCACAA